rnacentral:misc_RNA from 1 species
UUUUUUUUUUAUUUUUUUUUUUUAUAACGCCAUUUAUUAUUCAAGAUACAAGAAGAAGAAAAAAGAGUGGAGGGACGCUGGUGGAACAAAAAUUCUAAUUUCCCCGUCGUUCAAAAUUCAUUCUCCGCGGCCGAAAACGAGUUUCUACGCAGGAAUCCCGAUCGCGACUCCCAGCCGGCCGUCGAGAAGACUCAUUGCUAUUCCGCGGGCAAGCAAAAAGAAUUUUAAUGAAUUAUAAGGAGCAGGUAUGAAGGAGGAUUGACAGGCGAUCCUGGUGAAAUUAAAGGAGCUACCCACUGAUCACCGCUAUCCGUCGUUGUGCUGCUGCUCCGACGUAUUUUUUGCCUCGCCAUAACCUCUGUGAUAGGGGCGCUUUAUUCAUUUUUCGCGAAAAAUUCCUUUUCU